CUCGUAGGUAAGGAUGGCAAAAAACAUGUUAUAUCCGAUACCCGUGGGCUCGGUUCCCAUUGGGACAGGGAUUACUCGAUAACUGGGUAAAUUUGGCGGAAAUAGGAUGGGGUCAUUGUCCCAAAACAAAUAUGGAAAAUAUAGUCCUCCUGCUACCUUCCCGUUUAAAGUUAACUUCAAAUUUAAGUUUUUUAUCAAACAAAAAUAAAAGAUUUAUCAUCAUUUUUAAAGAGAAUAUAAGUUGUUCUUAACAAAUUGAAAAAAAAAGGUAAUAAUAUUUACUAAUUGAAGACAUAAAAAAUAGAAGCAAAAAUUAAAAUAAAUAAAAAUAAAAAAUGAAAAAAAAGGUGUUUCAUUUCUUCCUCGUUGUCAUCCCUACUCGUAGGUUUCAAGGUUGGCCCUAUUAAAGUGCUCAUGUCUUUUCUUUCGAGGCGAAUGAUGUUCUUUGCAAAGGGUUUGCUCUUUCGUGCAAAGACAUUCUCCAUGAUAUUUGAUGUAUCCAUGGGAGGGGUUCGUCUCGUAGGUUUCAAGGUUGACCCCAAAAGGGUGCUUUAUACUUUUCAUUUCAAGGCGGAUGAUAUUCUUUGCAAGGGAGUGACUCUUCCUUGCAAAGAAUUCCUCCAUGAUGUUUGAUAUAUUCAUUGAAAGGAUUCAAACAGGAAUGAGUUCACAGAUGUAAAAAGUAUCUUCAUUGAUGGAAUAAUUGCAUAAGCUAGGGAAACUCAUCCAACUAGAUAGAUGUGUCGUGCUUGCUGGUAGUAAUUCGUAAAUGUUCAACAUUCUAGGGAUAGGAUUGUGCAUUUCCAUCUCAAUACUAUAAGUGUCGGGCCUUAGCUCCUCUAAGAUACGAUAGGGGGCCCAAUUAGGGCAUAAUAUCCCUACAUUUGGUUCUUUAGAAGACAAGAAAAUCCUUCUUAAUACAAGAUCUCCCCUUCAAAAUAACUUCUUCUUCAACCUUGAGUUGUAGUAUCGAGUCAUUUUCCGUUGAUAAGAAGCGAGCUUCAUUUGGAAAUCAUCUCUCCUUUCUUCAAGGAAGUCUAGUUCACAUCUCCCUAACUCGUUCUUAAAUAUCUUAUUAAAAUGCAAGGGAGGGUCAUAGCCUUAGCUCUAUAUUCCAUAGAAAAUGGGGUAUCUCCUAUUGCAAUUCAUCUUGUUAUCUGAAUUGCCCAUAGUGCUUAGAGAGCUCAUCCACGGGUCCCUUUUGACCCACGAGCUUUUUUUUUUUUUCAAGGUGUGCUUGGUGGUUUUGUUAACUGUUUCCACUUGAUCAUUUACUUGAGGAUUAUAGGGUGAUGAGAAAUGUUUUUGGAUUCUAACUCUUCAUAUAAAUCCCUGAUCUUCUUAUUGUUAUUCGGUACAAGCGAACUGAAAAUCUCAAACCAAUAGAUAAUGUUCUUCUAGGUAAAUUUGGAAGAGCUGGCUCGAAACUAUAGUUAGUUCUUAAGAGGGCUGCCUCUAAAUUGUGGAGAAAUGUUGACUUUUAUCGUAUUUUCUCAAGAACCAAAGUACAUAUUUCUUAAGAGUUGGCCAAUAAUACACUUAUCUUAAUACUUUGUAAACAAGUUCUAGCCCUCCUGUAUGGUCGCUACAAACUCCUUCGUUAAUUUCGCUAAGGAUACAAUUAGCUUUUUCUCCACCAGUACAUUGAAGACGAGGCUAAGAGAAUUCUUUCUUAUACAACACUUGAUCUUGGAGGACAAAGCCCUUUUUUUGAAUUUGUGGGCCUCUUCUUUGUUAUCUAGUAGGACUUGAUCUUUGAGAAAGGCAAUAAUUGACAGCAUCCAAAUUGGGGUUCCUUCAAUCCACAUGACUUCUCCCCCUUUGGAGAUAAAAGGCCUGGCGAGGUGUUCAAUGAAGACUACCUCGAGCAGCUUUGAAUCUUUGCUGCUGGCUAAUUUUGGUAAGGCAUUGUCGUGAACAUUUGCAAUACGUGGGAUUUAAGCCAACUCAUAUUUUUCAAAAGAUGGGAAAAUAUCCAUAACUCGCUUGAGGUAUGUUAUCGUACUCUUGUCUCUUGUAUUGAAGUUGUAAUUUACUUAGCUUACCACCAAUUGUGAAUCACUAUUAACCACCAACCUCUUCACUUGUAUCUCCAUAAAGAAUUUGAAGCUAGGUAAUAACGUCUUGUAUUCAGUUGUAUUAUUGGAUGCUUUGAAUCUAAAUCUUACUACACAAUUAUGUUUGUGCCUUUCAUUGCUAAAAAUACCACUCUAGCCCCUACACCUAUUUUUCUUGAGAAACCAUCAACACACAAAUUCAUGUGGGGAUUUUUACUGGUUCCAUUGUCACCUUUAUGUCCAGAGCAUGCUAUGAAAAUCGCAAGUGCUUGUUCCUAAACAGAAGCUCUUGGCUUCUAAACAAUAUCAAAUUUACUAAACUCCAUAGCCCAUUUCAUCAAUCUUCCUGAAACAUUGGAUUUUUGAAGCACCUACUUGAGUGGAAAAUUGGUCAAUAGUUAUAUGCUAUGGGCCUGGAAAUACGGCCUCAACUUUCUUGAAGUGAUAAUCAAUUAGAGGACAAGCUUUUCCAUGUCAGUGUAGCAAGUUUCUACUAAGAAAAGGGACUUGCUCACAUAAUAAAUAGGCAACUGUAAGCUUUCUCCUUCUCUUAUAAAUACACAACUUACAGCCUUUACAGAAACAACCAAAUACAACAAUGGUUAUCCUUUUUUAGGCUUUGAGUGGAUGGAGCCCGUGUUAAAUGCUUCUCCGGCUCUUGAAAAGCUUCUUUACAAUCCUUGUUCUAUCAGAACCUUUUUCCUCUUUUAAUAACUUUGAAAAAUGGAAAGCAUAUAUCGGUUGCCUUCAAAACGAAUUGGCUCGAGGCUAUCAAUCGACAUGUGAGACUUUACAUUUUCUUAGGUUUAUUAGGGAAACUCAUAUCCAUCAAAGUUUUGUUCAUUUCAAGGAUAGCCUCUAUAACUUUUUGUUUAACCAUAUAGCCUAGGAAUUUCCCAGAGAUAAUACCAAAGGCAAAUUUGAGGAGAUUCAAUCUCAUUCUAUAUCUCGCUAAUAUUUGAAAAAUAGCUUCGAGGUGCUUAACAUGAUCCAUAGUCUUGAGGCUCUUCACCAGCAUGUCAUUCAUAUAAGCUUCCAUAGUUUUACCAAUGAGGUCAACAAACAUUUUGUUGGCAAGUAUUUGAUACGUUUCCGUGGCAUUCUUCAUGCCAAAUGACAUCACCUUGUAGCAAUAAAGACCUUAUUGUGAUGAAUGAGUAUUUUCUUCAUCUGCAGGGUGCAUAAGCAUCUAAUUAUAUCCUGAAUAGGCAACCAUAAAACUUAAUAGCUCAUGGCCUAUAGCGGAAUCCACAAGUUCAUCCAUCAUUAGAAAUGGCAAGCUAUUAUUAGAACAAGUUUGAUUAAUGUUGGAAAAUUCUAUGCAUACCCUCCACUUGCCAUUGUGCUUUUUGACCAGUAUUGGAUUGAAAAUCCACUUCAGAUAGAUAUCUUCUCUGAUGAAUCAAUUUAAAAUCAAUUUUUUCUCUUUUUCCUUUAAGGCUCUGUACCUUUUCGAGCUAAGGGCUAUCAUUUUCUGCAUGUGAGAAAUAAAUUUUGGGUCAAUAUUGAGGUGGUGAAAACUGACCUCGAGGUCAUUACCUACCAUAUCUUCAUGCCUCAAGAAAAUAUAUACAAGUUUUUACGCAAGAAGCUUUUGAGCUUCUGCUUGUUUUCCAAAUUCAACUAUGUUUCCACUUAGAAUGUUUUAUGGGUCUACUUGAAAGCAUUCCAGUUUCUCUAUUGGGAGCCAUUUGAGAAUUGGUCUCCAUGAUUCGAGGAUCUAGUCUAUUAUCCAUGGCCCAUUCUUUAAUGGUCAUCCAUUUUUCAAGGAUCUUUUCUUCUGUAGGGAAGUCUUCCUUUUGUUCAGGGGUCUACCAUUUGCUAGUUGUAUCAAGCAUUUUAGUGUCAAUCAAUACAAUGUUUAUACUUUGAGGUUCAGCAUUUCUCAAAGAAUUGAGAUAGUAUUCUCCUGAUCCCAUAUGAUCAUCUUUAAUAGUAGUGAUGCUAUGUUCCAUAGAAAUUUCAUGUAUAAGUGAUGAAUAUAAGUGAUAGCCCAAAGUUCCUUUAAUAUAGGCCAUCCUAACAUACGGUGAUAGGCUAACAUGUUAUUCGCAAUUAGAAACUCCAUGAAAUGAUGUGCUAUCAAGGGGAACGAUCAUAUUUCCACAGCAAGAGUGAUUUUUUUCCCUUGGAAAUGCUAUCUCCAGUAAAACCAUAUAAAGAGAAGUCAUGGUGGUGAGCUCAUGAUCUAUCAUCCUGUCAUAAGUGGCUCCAAAUAGGAUAUUGAUAGAGCUUCCAUUAUCAACCAACAUAUGUUUCAAACCAUUUCAUGCCAUACGACUAAUGCAUUACAAUGGGGGCAAUGUAGACUUACCGCAUCUUCCAUGUAAAAGUGAUGGGUUGUAUAUUCUUAGCCCCAUGGGGGUGCUAUUAUAUAUAUAUUUCAUCAUAGGAGGCUUUUUUAACUUUCCUUACAUAGUUCUACUUUGCAUUUCGAGAUUCUCCCCCAACAUGUGACCUCGAUAUUAUUAUCUAUCUAUCGAAUGGAGAGCAUUAUCAACAUUUUUCGAGGGGUCUCUUCUUUGCCUUUGGCUACAUGUAGGCAUUUUCCUAUCUUUAUCCCUCUUGUGUCUGAGGGAUUUUUUCCUGGAAGUCACUUCGCCUUAUCUCAUUGAAGUCGUUGAUCAUGUUUAGAUAGGGACGUAUUUUGUUGCCUAUGAUGGCUAUCUUUCAUUCUUGAAUGUGAAUCAAUUUGUUCCGUGUGAUGUGGUAUGAACAUACAAUCAUUUGUGCCAUAGCUAUAAGUUUAGUGGUAAGUACAAUAGGGCCUAUUCCUAGACUCAUUGUUCCUAUCUUUGCCCCUACCCCUUGGGUGAUUUGGUUGUAUUUGAACAUCAAGUCUAACUUCUUCAUACGCCAAAAAAGGUACUAACAGUAGCUAAUACUUGGCCUGAAGUAAGGACGAUGGUAUGCCCAACUUGGGUUCAUUGUUGAUUUACCAUGUAUGAAACUGGGCUUUUUCUUUACCUUUGAGGGGGCAAAAGUCCCAUAGAGGUUUGGUUGCAAUGGUCUAUCAAUUUUUUAUUGACAAUCUUGCUUCUCAUCAUUUCUAACAAGGUAUCGUAGGUGGUAGGAUUCUUGUUUCGCACAUUUCUCCAAAAGUGGGUAUUCAUGUUGAGACCUUAUCUCAAAGUUGAAAGAACCUCUCUAUCAAUGACUUGUUCACAAUAAGUCAUCUCAUCAUUAAAGCGAAUCAAGUAACAUUUUAGGGUUUUGCCUGCCUAUGGCCUUAUAUCCUAUAGACAUUUAAUAGGGGCCUCUCCAUCUUUUUUGGAUUUUCCCCUACAUGGCAGUAUUCUAUCAGUUGAUACUCAUGUUGGCAGCCAUUCAUUUUGACUCUCUUCCACGGAAUGCAAUGGUGUCACUACUUUGACAAUGGCGGUAAAAGGCUCUAUGAAUUUGACACUAGUUCGGAAGACCUCUUCUUUAGGGGUCUCCCAUUUGUCCUUGCGAGGGAUCCAUAAUGGCUGGAACUCAUAGUAUACUAACUUGGAUAUUAUACAAUACUUUAAAUAGCACUUCUACUUGUUCUUUCCUCAAGAACAAAAACCUUUUUUCAAGGAAAAAUUAUGAUGUUUUUUCUAAUACUUCUACUACAAGGAUAUUUGUGAUUGCAGUAUGGUUUUCCACAAAUGGUACCAAUCUUAACUUCAAAUUUUGUACCCCAAAGUGGCCAAUGGAUCCUAAGGGCUUCCAUGUCCACUUAAGCCUAGUUCUUACAUACUUGGACAAAUCGUUAGUCACAUGUGGCUUCUCGCGGUGGUGGUGGAGCUAGAUUGCACACUUUUACGGUCAAGUCAGUUGUAAUAAUAAGUAUAUAAGUGUGGGAGGUACUUUAGCCCGAGCCUUUAAUGCAAAAAUAGGGUCGACUUUGGAGAGAAUACAUGAUAAUAACAGUAAGGAUAAAAAAGUUAUCGCUUCAGAGUUUAAACUUGCAUUACCUUUAGAAUGACACAUUAUGCAAGCUUUUAUAGUAGAAUGGGAUAGAUAUCAACCGUAAGAUGAAAGUAUACAUGGCCUAAUACACACGUCUGAGGCCUCUUGUCAAAGACAUCAAUCAAUCAUAAGCCUUUAAUGCUAAUACCAUUUUGUAGCCCAUAAAUCUGGUAUAGGGCUUACACUUAACCAGAUUGACUGGAUAGAGAUAUGGUAAUAGUGAAUUUUCGCAUCAAUCACUAUUAAGUAUUGCAUAGAAAAUCUUCUGCUAGGCCCAUUGCUUCUUCACCCCGUCAUGAAGGUUCGAUUCUUUAUAUGGGGUCGAUUCAGUUAAAUAGGUUCAGCUUCUUCAUGGGGAUUUGGCCAAACUUCCUCUUGGGUAGAGUGAUACCAAGCACUUGCCUGCAGCUCCUGCCGCCCGCCAAGCAGGCGGAGCUCUCGUUAUCUUGACUCCUGUCAUGUAAGAUCCCUUAAAGCCUUAUCAGAUGAGGUAUAACAAAAUUCAUUGAAUGUCUAAGAUCAAAUAGUACAUAAAUAUUAUCUUGUAAUCGAUAACGAAACAAAAGAUAAGUGAAAAUAAAUAUUAGUGGUUGAGAUUCAAAUAAAAUCUAUUUAACAGUUUAGAUCGAAUAGUACAUAUAUCGUAUUAUGUAAAGGAUAAUGAGGCAAAAGAUAAAGUGAAAGUGAAUGUGUGGUUGAGAUUCGGAUG
rnacentral:lncRNA from 1 species